rnacentral:rRNA from 1 species
UAGCUAGUAGGUGAGGUAAAAGCUCACCUAGGCGACGAUCAGUAGCUGGUCUGAGAGGACGACCAGCCACACUGGAACUGAGACACGGUCCAGACUCCUACGGGAGGCAGCAGUGGGGAAUUUUGGACAAUGGGCGAAAGCCUGAUCCAGCCAUUCCGCGUGAGUGAAGAAGGCCUUCGGGUUGUAAAGCUCUUUCGCAAGGGAAGAAAACUUAGAUACUAAUAUUAUCUGAGGUUGACGGUACCUUGAUAAGAAGCACCGGCUAACUACGUGCCAGCAGCCGCGGUAAUACGUAGGGUGCGAGCGUUAAUCGGAAUUACUGGGCGUAAAGCGUGCGCAGGCGGUUUUGUAAGUCAGAUGUGAAAUCCCCGAGCUCAACUUGGGAACUGCGUUUGAAACUACAAGACUAGAAUAUGUCAGAGGGGGGUAGAAUUCCACGUGUAGCAGUGAAAUGCGUAGAGAUGUGGAGGAAUACCAAUGGCGAAGGCAGCCCCCUGGGAUAAUAUUGACGCUCAUGCACGAAAGCGUGGGGAGCAAACAGGAUUAGAUACCCCGGUAGUCCACGCCCUAAACGAUGUCUACUAGUUGUUGGUGGAGUAAAAUCCAUGAGUAACCCAGCUAACGCGUGAAGUAGACCGCCUGGGGAGUACGGUCGCAAGAUUAAAACUCAAAUGAAUUGACGGGGCCCGCACAAGCGGUGGAUUAUGUGGAUUAAUUCGAUGCAACGCGAAAAACCUUACCUGGCCUUGACAUGAAACGAACUUUCCAGAGAUGGAUUGGUGCUCGAAAGAGAACGUUAACACAGGUGCUGCAUGGCUGUCGUCAGCUCGUGUCGUGAGAUGUUGGGUUAAGUCCCGCAACGAGCGCAACCCUUGCCAUUAAUUGCCAUCAUUUAGUUGGGCACUUUAAUGGGACUGCCGGUGACAAACCGGAGGAAGGUGGGGAUGACGUCAAGUCCUCAUGGCCCUUAUGGCCAGGGCUUCACACGUAAUACAAUGGUCGGUACAGAGGGUCGCCAACCCGCAAGGGGGAGCCAAUCCCAGAAAGCCGAUCGUAGUCCGGAUUGAGGUCUGCAACUCGACCUCAUGAAGUCUGAAUCGCUAGUAAUCGCGGAUCAGCAUGUCGCGGUGAAUACGUUCCCGGGCCUUGUACACACCGCCCGUCACACCAUGGGAGUGGGUUUUACCAGAAGUAGGUAGUCUAACCUUCGGGAGGACGCUUACCACGGUAGUAUUCAUGACUGGGGUGAAGUCGUAACAAGGUAGCCGUAUCGGGGUGCGGCUG